UCGGCCGGUUUGUCGCUGAAUCAUUUCAGAGGAAAGUCCGGGCAACACAGAGCAUUCCGCUUCCUAACGGGAAGUCAUCCGCAAGGGUGAAUAAAUGCAGAAGAAAAUAACCGCCGCAAGGCAAGGGUGAGAAGGCGGGGUAAGAGCCCACCGGGCUGUGCAGCAAUGCACGGCGCCGUGCAUAUCGGAAGUUGCAAGGUCAAGUAAACCGAUGCUUGAGGGUUGCUCGCCCGAGUCGGAGGGUAGACCGCUAAAGUGCAAUGGCGACAUUGCAUUCAGAUAAAUGACAAACAUCACGGGCAUCACGCCCGCGAUACAGAACCCGGCUUACAGGCCGACUGUU
rnacentral:RNase_P_RNA from 1 species